rnacentral:rRNA from 1 species
GACGAACGCUGGCGGCGUGCUUAACACAUGCAAGUCGUACGGUAAGGCCCUUUCGGGGGUACACGAGUGGCGAACGGGUGCGUAACACGUGAGUAACCUGCCCACAACUUUGGGAUAACGCUAGGAAACUGGGGCUAAUACUGGAUAUGUGCCCCUGCUGCAUGGUGGGGGUUGGAAAGCUCCGGCGGUUGUGGAUGGACUCGCGGCCUAUCAGCUUGUUGGUGGGGUAGUGGCCUACCAAGGCGGCGACGGGUAGCCGGCCUGAGAGGGUGACCGGCCACAUUGGGACUGAGGUACGGCCCAGACUCCUACGGGAGGCAGCAGUGGGGAAUCUUGCACAAUGGGCGCAAGCCUGAUGCAGCAACGCCGCGUGCGGGAUGACGGCCUUCUGGUUGUAAACCGCUUUCAGCAGGGACGAAGCUUUUUGUGACGGUACCUGCAGAAGAAGCACCGGCUAACUACGUG